GGGGCCAUAUCUCAGCUGGGAGAGCGCCUGCCUUGCACGCAGGAGGUCAGCGGUUCGAUCCCGCUUGGCUCCACCA
rnacentral:tRNA from 1 species